rnacentral:lncRNA from 1 species
ACAAGCUUCAGGGGUAAAGCCUUCCUACAAGAGUGUGUGAAGGGAUUUUCCCCUUUUCUGUCAUAACCUGAACUUUUAACCAUAAAAAGAUUAUGGAAGUUCAAAUAGAUAUUGAUAACACCAAAGGAUACCUACUUAUGGCUAUUAUCAUCGGAUGGAUAUUCUUGUUCUUGCUUUUAAUAAUCUAUUGGAUACACCUAUGCUAUUCUAUCUUGUUUGGUUUUUGUGUAAGAGGAAGAAGAUAUUCUUACCUGCACUGAAGAAAAUUGGAGCACAUUUGAAAAUUCCAAAUACAGACAAUGAUAGAUGGAAUCUUUCCAAAGGACAAUACGCAAAGGCAACCAGUGACAGAAACAAAAUAAAAAGAUGUGACCAUCAAAUGGUAU